rnacentral:rRNA from 1 species
UGCGUAGGCGGAUUGUUAAGUCAGUGGUGAAAGUCUACGGCUCAACCGUAGAAGUGCCAUUGAUACUGGCAGUCUUGAGUACAGUAGAGGUAGGCGGAAUUUAUGGUGUAGCGGUGAAAUGCAUAGAUACCAUAAAGAACACCUAUAGCGAAGGCAGCUUACUAUUCUGUAACUGACGCUGAGGCACGAAAGCGUGGGGAGCGAACAGGAUUAGAUACCCUGGUAGUCC